rnacentral:lncRNA from 12 species
AUGUGCAGGGAGGGGCCCAGGAAGUCAGGGACUCCCCCUCCCAACUCCAAUCAAAUGUCUCCCCCCUCCCUGCCCACCCCCCACAGUCCCUCCGCAGUUUCCAUGAUGACUUCAAGUCCUAGGAGUUACUUUAUAUCGCAAAUAAAUCUCCAGAAUAGCACGGAAAUAUUAUGUGUAUUAAUAGCGCCUGUAAAAACAUCCGAAAAGCUUCCAUCCGCCGGGCCACGGACGCCGCGCGGCUGGGAGAUGCUCUCCCGGGACUGGGGACGCGCUGCCGGCCGGGCCCCCGGUGGUCUGUCUGCCGUCUGUUUGUCUGCGGGUGACCCCGGCGACCUGCCGCCGCCCAAGCCGCCCCCUCGUCCCUCAGCGGGGCGCAGCCCGGGGCCAGGUCCCCGCCACCGGACACACGGGUCCCGGUCCCCUGCGCCUCGCGCGCCCCUCGGUCCCGGGCAGGGCAGGGCAGGCGGCUGUCCCCGGCGCCCGCGCCCCGCGCCCCGCGCCCCGCGCUCAGGGCCCCGCGUUCAGGGCCCCCGGUACUCACGGGCCGCAGGGGCUUCCCUGGGCGACAGCCCCUCGAGGUCGAUGUCGCCCUCCAGCAUGGCGUGGCUCGCUGCCCGGCUCGGGGCGCCCCCGGCGGCGUCCAGGCGAGGGGCGACGCGGCCACCCCGAGGUCGUCUGCGGGGCCGGGUCGGGGCCGGGGUCGAGCCCAGCCGGGGAGGGGACCAGCCCCGCCGCCUGCUCCAGGCGCAGGACGCGAAGCCGCGCGCGGAGCCCAGCUCGGCCGCCCUCGCGCUCCGCCGCGCCGCUCCUCCCCCUGGGCCUUUAGGGCUGGGGUCCCGGCCGGCCUCCCGCCCCCGGGGUACCUGCCGACGCCGCCCUCGCCCCGCCCCGCCCCGCGCCGCCCCGCGCGACGCCCCGGCCCGGACACCCCGGACACCGCGGGCGCGGGACGCUGGAGACGGAGGGCCCGGCCCGCCCCCGCCUCGGCUCCGCGGGGCUGCCUCCACCCGCCCGGCCGCCUUAUCAGUCGGGGCGGCCAGCGGGGGGCCCCAGCCACCCCGGGAAGGGCGCGGGGGGAGGGCCAGGGACCCGGCCGGGAGGGGCGGGGGGCACCGCGCCCCGGAUGGCUGGGUGGCCCGGGUCCCGCGUCGGGGACAGGGCUCAGCUCCCUCCCCAGGGGGACCCUAG